UGGUAGGCAAUAUUGGUCAAUGGGCGCGAGCCUGAACCAGCCAUCCCGCGUGCAGGAUGACGGCCCUAUGGGUUGUAAACUGCUUUUCUACUCCAAGAAACCACCUUACGUGUAGGGUGUUGCCGGUAGAGUAGGAAUAAGCAUCGGCUAACUCCGUGCCAGCAGCCGCGGUA
rnacentral:rRNA from 1 species